GACGAACGCUGGCGGCGUGCUUAACACAUGCAAGUCGAACGGAAAGGCCCCUUUGGGGGUACUCGAGUGGCGAACGGGUGAGUAACACGUGCGUAACCUGCCCUUCACUUCGGGAUAACUUCAGGAAACUGGGGCUAAUACCGGAUAGGAAUCCUUGCUGCAUGGUGGGGGUUGGUAAGCUUCGGCGGUUUUGGAUGGACUCGCGGCUUAUCAGCUUGUUGGUGGGGUAGUGGCUUACCAAGGCUUUGUCGGGUAGCCGGCCUGAGAGGGCGACCGGCCACAUUGGGACUGAGAUACGGCCCAGACUCCUACGGGGGGCAGCAGGGGGGAAUAUUGCACAAGGGGCGGAAGCCUGAUGCAGCAACGCCGCGGGCGGGAUGACGGCCUUCGGGUUGGAAACCGCUUUCAGCAGGGGCGAAGCUUGUGGUGACGGUACCUGCAGAAGAAGCACCGGCUAACUACGUG
rnacentral:rRNA from 1 species